GAUGAACGCUGGCGGCGUGCCUAAUACAUGCAAGUCGAGCGAACAGACGAGGAGCUUGCUCCUCUGACGUUUGCGGCGCGGGUGUGAGUUACAUGUGGAUAACCUCCCUAUAAGAGUGGGAUAACUUGGGGAAACGGGAGAUAACACAGGCUAAUAUCUUGAAACGCCUGGGUCACUAGUGAACGCCGGCUUUGCUGUCGCUUAUAGAUGGAUCAGCGCCGCAUUAGCUAGUUGGUAAGGUAACGGCUUACCAAGGCGACGAUGCGUAGCCGACCUGAGAGGGUGAUCGGCCACACUGGAACUGAGACACGGUCCAGACUCCUACGGGAGGCAGCAGUAGGGAAUCUUCGGCAAUGGGCGAAAGCCUGACGGAGCAACGCCGCGUGAGUGAUGAAGGUCUUCGGAUCGUAAAACUCUGUUAUUAGGGAAGAACAAAUGUGUAAGUAACUAGGCACGGCUUGACGGUACCGGAUCAAAAAGCAACGGCUAACUACGUG
rnacentral:rRNA from 1 species